UACGUAGGGUCCGAGCGUUGUCCGGAAUUACUGGGCGUAAAGAGCUCGUAGGUGGUUUGUCGCGUUGUUCGUGAAAACUCACAGCUCAACUGUGGGCGUGCGGGCGAUACGGGCAGACUGGAGUACUGCAGGGGAGACUGGAAUUCCUGGUGUAGCGGUGGAAUGCGCAGAUAUCAGGAGGAACACCGGUGGCGAAGGCGGCUCUCUGGGCAUUACCUGACGCUGAGGAGCGAAAGUGUGGGGAGCGAACAGG
rnacentral:rRNA from 1 species